AGAGUUUGAUCCUGGCUCAGAAUGAACGCUGGCGGCGUGCUUAACACAUGCAAGUCGAACGAGGGCGGCGAAAGCCGACCCGAGUGGCGCACGGGUGCGUAACGCGUGAGUAAUCUACCUCCAGGACGGGGAUAACGUGCCGAAAGGCGCGCUAAUACCCGAUGAUCUCCUAAUAGUUCGUUCUAUUUGGAGCAAAGGAAUUUCGCCGGGAGAUGAGCUUGCGUCCCAUUAGGAAGUUGGUGGGGUAAAGGCUUACCAAUCCGAAGAUGGGUAGCCGGCCUGAGAGGGUGACCGGCCACACUGGGACUGAGACACGGCCCAGACUCCUACGGGAGGCAGCAGUGGGGAAUAUUGGACAAUGGGCGAAAGCCUGAUCCAGCAACGCCGCGUGAGGGAUGACGCUUUUCGGAGUGUAAACCUCUGUAAGUGGGGACGAAACCGCAAGGUUGACGGUACCCGCAAAGUUAGCCCCGGCUAACUCCGUGCCAGCAGCCGCGGUAAUACGGGGGGGCCAGCGUUAUUCGGAAUUACUGGGCGUAAAGCGUGCGUAGGCGGACUCCUAAGUCUUCUGUCUAAUCUCCCGGCUUAACCGGGAAAAGGCAGGAGAUACUGGGAGACUAGAGUGCCGGAGGGGAAAGUAGAAUUCCUGGUGUAGCGGUGAAAUGCGUAGAGAUCAGGAGGAAUACCGGUGGCGUAAGCGACUUUCUAGACGGCAACUGACGCUGAGGCACGAAAGCCAGGGGAGCAAACGGGAUUAGAUACCCCGGUAGUCCUGGCCAUAAACGAUGGAUACUAGGUGUGGUGGGCUUCGACCCCCGCCGUGCCGUAGCUAACGCAUUAAGUAUCCCGCCUGGGGAGUACGCUCGCAAGAGUGAAACUCAAAGGAAUUGACGGGAGCCCGCACAAGCGGUGGAGUAUGUGGUUUAAUUCGACACAACGCGAGGAACCUUACCGAGGUUUGACAUGCUUUGGACCGGGUAUGAAAGUACCCUUCCCCGCAAGGGGCCUUAGCACAGGUGCUGCAUGGCUGUCGUCAGCUCGUGUCGUGAGAUGUUGGGUUAAGUCCCGCAACGAGCGCAACCCUUUCCCUUAGUUGCCAACAGGUUAAGCUGGGAACUCUAAGGGGACUGCCGUUAAUAAAACGGAGGAAGGUGGGGAUGACGUCAAGUCCUCAUGGCCUUUAUAUCUCGGGCUACACACGUACUACAAUGGCCGGUACAGAGGGAAGCAAACUCGCGAGAGCAAGCCGAUCCCGAAAAGCCGGUCUCAGUUCAGAUUGGAGUCUGCAACUCGACUCCAUGAAGAUGGAAUCGCUAGUAAUCGCUGAUCAGCACGCAGCGGUGAAUACGUUCCCGGGCUUUGUACACACCGCCCGUCACACCACGAAAGUUGGCUGUACUAGAAGUCGCUAGGCUAACCGCAAGGAGGCAGGCGCCAAAGGUAUGGUCAGUGAUUGGGGUGAAGUCGUAACAAGGUA
rnacentral:rRNA from 1 species